UACGUAGGGUGCAGGCGUUAAUCGGAAUUACUGGGCGUAAAGCGUGCGCAGGCGGUCUUUUAUGUCAGAUGUGAAAUCCCCGGGCUUAACCUGGGAACUGCGUUUGAAACUGGAAGGCUAGAGUGUGGCAGAGGGGGGGUGGAAUUCCACGUGUAGCAGUGAAAUGCGUAGAUAUGUGGAGGAACACCGAUGGCGAAGGCAGCCCCCUGGGCUAACACUGACGCUCAUGCACGAAAAGCGUGGGGAGCAAACAGG
rnacentral:rRNA from 1 species